CUGGUGUGCUGUCCAGUCUUGCCAUACCCGCUUGUGGCCUACGGCAUGCCUAGAAGCGACAGGCCACAUGUAUUUCCCCCCUAAAGGCUGAGUAACCUCUUUGUGAAGCUGUCAGUGAUCCCGCUUUAAGGAACAUGGCUCUUGGAUUUACCACUCAUGUCCGAGCUGACUCGUGCCCUGAGGAGAGUCCAGCCUGACCAUUUUGCCUGGCGAAGCUGCUGCUAGCUGUCACGAUGAAAGCAGUCAGGCACGUCCCUUCAUUUCAGCUGCAUUUAAGCAACCCACCAGUUCAUCUCCUUGUCUUUCCUGAGUGUACAGUGAUGAACAGUGAUGAUCUAACCAGGCUGCGAACUCUUGGGAGACCCUCAUGGAGCAGUCCAAGACAAUUAAAGUUAUUGGAUUCUCUAUCAUUUAAUAUCUGGAGGAAAAGGGAAACAAAUUCUGUCUUGAUACAACCAUAAAUAUGCUAUAAACCUCAUUACUGGACCUAAUUUAUAGCACAGUAUUGUUUAGGGGUGAAAUCAUUACUGAUCAACAGUCAUGCUCAUUAUUCCUUCACAUACCUUUAUUACUGC
ensembl:lncRNA